CAUUGGGGAAAUAAUACAUGGUGAAGGUUGUAUUUCAUCUUCUCAGGGAGCUAACACUGUCCUGUUAUUGUUUCAGUAGAUUUUAGUUCCUGAUUCAAAACAGCAUGGCUGCUUCUCAUUUCUCUUUCAGCAAUUUGAGGGUAGGAGUUAGUACAGUUAGCUUUUUCAGUCAUCUAGAUUCACACUUCCUCAUUGUUAGGGAGUGCUCAAAAGCAGAGAGUCAAAUGGCUGAAUGUUUUUUGGUAUCCCUCAAUUUUGGAUCCUUUUGCACCUAGAAACAUUAACUUUCCCUGGCAUCCUGUUACCUGUUACCUGUGAGCUGCCAAAAUAGUAAGCGGUGUAUGAUUACAUUAGUGUCUGUAAAAUUGUAAUUUGAAUCAGAUUCACCUGAAAUACUCCUCUAACUUUCUUUUGGUUAGAGAUUUAUUUCUUGUUUUUAAAAAAAUGACUUAAAAUGUGUCUAAUACUUCCCAGACUUUAAUUUGCAUCUGUAUUCAGUA
rnacentral:lncRNA from 1 species